GCCAGCGUGGUGUAGUGGUUUGAGUGUUGGACUAUGACUCUGGAGACCAGGGUUUGAAUCCCCGCUCAGCCA
rnacentral:tRNA from 1 species